CCUACGGGAGGCAGCAGUGGGGAAUAUUGGGCAAUGGAGGCAACCCUUACCCAGCAACGCCGCGUGAAUGAAGAAGGUCUUCGGAUUGUAAAGCUCUUUAAUUGGGGACGAAAAAAAUGACGGUACCCAAGGAAUAAGCCCCGGCUAACUACGUGCCAGCAGCCGCGGUAAUACGUAGGGGGCAAGCGUUGUUCGGAAUGACUGGGCGUAAAGGGUGUGUAGGCGGUGUAGUAAGUUAGAAGUGAAAUACCUGGGGCUUAACCCAGGGGAUGACUCUAAAACUGAUAUACUUGAGGGCAGGAGAGGAAAGUCGAAUUCCUGGGGGAGCGGUGGAAUGCGUAGAUAUUAGGAGGAA
rnacentral:rRNA from 1 species